rnacentral:rRNA from 1 species
ACGAACGCUGGCGGCGUGCCUAACACAUGCAAGUCGAACGAGAAAGGGGCUUCGGCCCUGAGUAAAGUGGCGCACGGGUGAGUAACACGUAGGUAACCUGCCUCUAAGAUUGGGAUAACUCGUCGAAAGAUGGGCUAAUACCAAAUAAGACCACAGUUUUUUCGGAAGCAGAGGUCAAAGGUAGCCUCUAUUUAUAAGCUAUCGCUUAGAGAUGGGCCUGCGCACCAUUAGCUAGUUGGUAGGGUAACGGCUCACCAGGGCAACGAUCGGUAGCCUGGUCUGAGAGGGCUGAUCAGCCACACUGGAACUGAGGACACGGUCCAGACUCCUACGGGAGGCAGCAGUGGGGAAUAUUGCGCAAUGGGCGCAAGCCUGACGCACGCAACGCCGCGUGGAGGAUGAAGGUCUUCGGAGUGUAAAGCUCCUGUUGCCGGGAACGAACUGCCUUCGAGGCUAACAGCCCGUGAAGGUUGAUGGUACCGGUCAAGGAAGCACCGGCUAACUCUGUGCCAGCAGCCGCGGUAAUACAGAGGGUGCUAGCGUUGUUCGGAAUUACUGGGCGUAAAGGGCGCGUAGGCGGCUUGCUAAGUCGACUGUGAAAUCCCUCGGCUCAACCGGGAACUGACGCCUGAUAACUGGAAGGCUUAGAGUACCGGAAGAGGGAGGCUGGAAUUCCAGGCUGUAGCGGUGAAAUGCGUAGAUAUCGGGAGGAACACCAUGUGGCGAAGGCGGCAUCCUGGACUGGAUACUGACGCUGAUACGCGAAAGCCAGGGGAGCAAACAGGAUUAGAUACCCCUGGUAGUCCACUGCCUAAACGAUGGAAUCUUAGGUGUGCGGGGUAUCGAUCCCCUGCGGUGCCGAAGCUAACGCAUUAAGCAUGCCCGCCUGGGGAGUACGGUCGCAAGCUUAAACUCAAAGGAAUUGACGGGGGCCCGCACAAGCGGUGGAGCAUGUGGUUCAAUUCGACGCAACGCGAAGAACCUUACCCAGGGCUUAGACCACGGUGGACAGCCCUACGAAAGUAGGGUCCUUCGCAGGACUGCCGGUAGAGGUGCUGCAUGGCUGUCGUCAGCUCGUGUCGUGAGGAUGUUGGGUUAAGUCCCGCAACGAGCGCAACCCUUCGUCCUUAGUUGCCACAUCAGGUUGCGGCACUCUAGGAGAGACUGCCGGGUUACAAGCCGGAGGAAGGUGGGGAUGACGUCAAGUCAUCAUGGCCCUUAUGUCCAUGGGCCACACACGUGCUACAAUGGGCCGGUACAAACCGGUCGCGAAUCCUCGCGAGAGGGAGCCUAAUCCAGAAAGCCGCUCUCAGUUCGGAUUGGAGUCUGCAACUCGCCUCCAUGAAGUUGGAAUCGCUAGUAAUCGCGGAUCAGCACGCCGCGGUGAAUACGUUCCCGGGCCUUGUACACACCGCCCGUCACAUCCAUGGAAGCCAGCUGUACGAGAAGUCGGCUGCGCCAACCCGCAAGGGGGGUAGCCGCCUAUGGUAUGGUACUGGUGAUGGGGUG